CUACGGGGGGCUCCAGCCGAGAAUAUUCGACAAUGGGCGAAAGCCUGAUCGAGCGACGCCGCGUGCAGGACGAAGUCCUUCGGGACGUAAACUGCUUUUUUAGGGGAGGAACGAAAGUGACUGUACCCUAAGAAUAAGGGCUUGCUAACCUCGUGCCAGCAGCCGCGGUAAUACGAGGAGCCCAAGCGUUAUCCGGAUUUACUGGGCGUAAAGGGUGUGUAGGCGGUUCGGUUAGUCCUGUUUUAAAUCUUCGUGCCCAACAUGGAGACCGGAUGGGAAACGGCCGAACUUGGAGGAUGCCAGAGGCAAGCGGAACUCACGGUGUAGGGGUGAAAUCCGUUGAUAUCGUGGGGAACACCAAAGGCGAAGGCAGCUUGCUGGGGCAUUCCUGACGCUGAAACACGAAAGCGUGGGGAUCAAAAAGGAUUAGAUACCCGAGUAGUC
rnacentral:rRNA from 1 species